AUUGAACGCUGGCGGCAGGCCUAACACAUGCAAGUCGAGCGAGCGGCGGACGGGUGAGUAAUGUCUGGGAAACUGCCUGCUGGAGGGGGAUAACUACCGGAAACGGACGCUAAUUACGCACACCCUCAGAUGUGCCCAGCUGGGUUUAGCUAGUAGGUGGGGUAACGGCUCACCUAGGCGACGAUCCCUAGCUGGUCUGAGAGGAAGACCAGCCACAAUGGAACUGAGAUACGGUCCAGACUCCUGCGGGAGACAGAAGUGGGGAAUAUUGCACAAUGGGGGCAAAACUGAUGCAGCCAUGCCGCGUGUGUGAAGGAGGCCUUCGGGUUGUAAAGCACUUUCAGCGGGGAGGCGUUACCCGCAGAAGAAGCACCGGCUAACUCCGUGCCAGCAGCCGCGGUAAUUC
rnacentral:rRNA from 1 species